rnacentral:rRNA from 1 species
AUUGAACGCUGGCGGCAGGCUUAACACAUGCAAGUCGAGCGAGCGGCGGACGGGUGAGUAAUGUCUGGGAAACUGCCUGCUGGAGGGGGAUAACUACUGGAAACGGUAGCUAAUACCGCAUACCAUCAGAUGUGCCCAGAUGGGAUUAGCUAGUAGGUGGGGUAAUGGCUCACCUAGGCGACGAUACCUAGCGGGUCUGCGAGGAUGACCAGCCACACUGGAACUGAGACACGGACCAGACUCCUACGGGAGGCAGCAGGGGGGAAUAUUGCACAAUGGAGGCAAGCCUGAUGCAGCCAUGCCGGGUGUGUGAAGAAGGCCUUCGGGUUGUAAAGCUCUUUCAGCGAGGAGGCGUUACUCGCAGAAGAAUCACCGGCUAACUCCGUGCCAGGAGCCGCGGUAAUUC